rnacentral:rRNA from 1 species
AUUGAACGCUGGCGGCAUGCCUUACACAUGCAAGUCGAACGGCAGCGCGGACUUCGGUCUGGCGGCGAGUGGCGAACGGGUGAGUAAUACAUCGGAACGUACCCUGUUGUGGGGGAUAACUAGUCGAAAGAUUAGCUAAUACCGCAUACGACCUGAGGGUGAAAGUGGGGGACCGCAAGGCCUCGCGCAGCAGGAGCGGCCGAUGUCUGAUUAGCUGGUUGGUGGGGUAAAGGCCCACCAAGGCGACGAUCAGUAGCUGGUCUGAGAGGACGAGCAGCCACACUGGGACUGAGACACGGCCCAGACUCCUACGGGAGGCAGCAGUGGGGAAUUUUGGACAAUGGGGGCAACCCUGAUCCAGCAAUGCCGCGUGUGUGAAGAAGGCCUUCGGGUUGUAAAGCACUUUUGUCCGGAAAGAAAUCGCGCUGGUUAAUACCUGGCGUGGAUGACGGUACCGGAAGAAUAAGCACCGGCUAACUACGUGCCAGCCGCCGCGGUAA